UACGUAGGGUGCAAGCGUUGUCCGGAAUUAUUGGGCGUAAAGAGCUCGUAGGCGGUUUGUCGCGUCGGCUGUGAAAACUCGGGGCUCAACCCCGAGCCUGCAGUCGAUACGGGCAAACUUGAGUGCGGUAGGGGAGACUGGAAUUCCUGGUGUAGCGGUGAAAUGCGCAGAUAUCAGGAGGAACACCGGUGGCGAAGGCGGUUCUCUGGGCAUUACCUGACGCUGAGGAGCGAAAGUGUGGGGAGCGAACAGG
rnacentral:rRNA from 1 species